rnacentral:lncRNA from 1 species
CCAGAGUAGCUGGGACUACAGGCACCUGCCACCACGCCCGGCUAAUUUUUUUGUAUUUUUAGUAGAGACGGGGUUUCACCGUGUUAGCCAGGAUGGUCUCGAUCUCCUGAGCUCGUGAUCCACCCGCCUCAGCCUCCCAAAGUGCUGGGAUUACAGGUGUGAGCCAACAUGCCCGGCCUCAUUUCAAAAGACUUUUAAAUUUUCUUCUUAAAUUCAUCAUUGAUCCAAAGAUCAUUCAGGAGCGUUAAUUUCCAGCCCUGGGAACUUGGAGCAGAAGAAAGGAAAGGGAGACAUUAGGAGGGAAGCCCUGAGCCUCACAAGAGCAGAGAAGUAAGAAACUGUGGAUGAAAAGGGAGAACAUGCUGAGAGGUAUGAGGGAGACACCAAGAAUAAGCAGCAGAGGUGAGUUUCUCACCUAGGACAUCUCCAGGUUUCCAGAGUGGGGUGGAAUGUCGGUGACCCACAAAACAGAUUAGAUGUGGGGUAUCUCAGUAUUGUGCUCUCUAUCCACCCAUAGCAUAGGCUCUCUGGCACAGGAUCAAGAGGCACUGAGACUGGAGGAAUAUUCUUUUUUUUAAUUUUUGUUUAUUUAUUUAUUUAUUUUUGAGACAGGGUCUCACUUUCGCCCAGGCUG